GCCCAAGUGGCGGAACUGGCAGACGCGCAUGAUUCAGGUUCAUGUGGGGGCGACCCCGUGGAAGUUCGAGUCUUCUCUUGGGCA
rnacentral:tRNA from 1 species